UACAGAGGUCUCGAGCGUUAGGCGGAAUCACUGGGCUUAAAGCGUGUGUAGGUGGAUCGGUAAGUACCUUGUGAAAUCCCACGGCUUAACCGUGGAACUGCUUGGUAUACUGCCAGUCUUGAGCCAGCUAGGGGCUACCGGAACAAAUGGUGGAGCGGUGAAAUGCGUAGAUAUCAUUUGGAACGCCAAUGGUGAAAACAGGUAGCUGGGGCUGUGCUGACACCGAGACACGAAAGCCAGGGGAGCAAACGGG
rnacentral:rRNA from 1 species